AUUGAACGCUGGCGGCAUGCCUUACACAUGCAAGUCGAACGGCAGCGGGGACUUCGGUCCGCCGGCGAGUGGCGAACGGGUGAGUAAUGUAUCGGAACGUACCAUUGAGUGGGGGAUAACGUAGCGAAAGUUACGCUAAUACCGCAUAUUCUCUCCGGAGGAAAGCAGGGGACCGCAAGGCCUUGCGCUCUUUGAGCGGCCGAUAUCAGAUUAGCUAGUUGGUGGGGUAAAGGCUCACCAAUGCGACGAUCUGUAGCGGGUCUGAGAGGAUGAUCCGCCACACUGGAACUGAGACACGGUCCAGACUCCUACGGGAGGCAGCAGUGGGGAAUUUGGACAAUGGGGGCAACCCUGAUCCAGCCAUGCCGCGUGAGUGAAGAAGGCCUUCGGGUUGUAAAGCUCUUUCGGCCGGGAAAAAAUCGCAUGGGCUAAUACCCUGUGUGGAUGAUGGUACCGGAAUAAGAAGCACCGGCUAACUACGUGCCAGCCGCCGCAGUAA
rnacentral:rRNA from 1 species